rnacentral:rRNA from 1 species
CCUACGGGCGGCAGCAGUGAGGAAUAUUGGUCAAUGGCCGGGAGGCUGAACCAGCCAAGUCGCGUGAGGGAAGACGGCCCUACGGGUUGUAAACCUCUUUUGUCAGGGAGCAAGGUGCAGGUCGGGACCUGCUGUGAGAGUACCUGAAGAAAAAGCAUCGGCUAACUCCGUGCCAGCAGCCGCGGUAAUACGGAGGAUGCGAGCGUUAUCCGGAUUUAUUGGGUUUAAAGGGUGCGCAGGCGGAGGCAAAAGUCAGCGGUAAAAUCGCGGGGCUCAACCCCGCUCCGCCGUUGAAACUGUGUCCCUGGAGGGCGGGAAGGGUAGGCGGAAUGGGGGGUGUAGGGGUGAAAUGCAUAGAUAUCACGCAGAACUCCGAUUGCGAAGGGAGCCUAUGGGCGCGCAAACGACGC